rnacentral:tRNA from 1 species
GCCCACGUAGCUCAGUUGGUAGAGCGUUUCCUUGGUAAGGAAAAGGUCACCGGUUCAAUUCCGGUCGCGGGCUCCA